ACCACUGGUUAGCUUAGUUGGUAGAGCGCUUCACAUCUAAUGGAGAGGUCCCGGGUUCGAUACCCGGACCAGGCG